AUGCGUUCGACUAGUACUUUGAAUCUCCAUAUGCUUAGUCCACGUGUUGAUUAAAUGAGAAAAAUAUUUUUGUUUUUUAACAGCAUUCUGCAGGUUGAUGAAUACUAAUGAAGCUGUGGGUGUCACUGAGCAGCUUCAUUUUAAAGUUACCCUGACUUACAUCUGCUGCAGUAAUUCUGAGAUUUGUGGUAAAUGUCGGUGUGGUGUAGCUUAAUGGAUUUUGGUCUGAUCAAUGAUGAAACCAAUCCCGAAGCUGAUAACCUGGAGAAAGGCAUGUACGGAUUCGGCUUCUGAGACAAGACUAAUGUGCAGAUUGAGGGGUUGCUGUCUGCCUGUUGAAAGAAGUCGGUGUGCUGUGACAUUUCGAAGGUGGAGACAUUUCUGACUAGUGCUGCGAGAUUUACUUGUCUGUCAUGAAAAAUCUGGUGAUUGGGAAAAUCUCCAUUUUAUGGAUGUGGGAAGAAAGUUCAAGAUGAAUUAUAUUUUUACAUUGAUUUUACAUAGAUUCUGAACCAGCAUCGAGUCUAGAUAAUGCAUUCCUAAGAGUCAAGGCAUUUCUGUUUGACCAUGACACUGCUGUAGAAUCAUAACCUGUUAACCCCAGUGUAUUACUUUCUACCUAUGAAACUAUUUUGAAAGGAAAAUUCUUUUCUAGUUAUCCAGCCUUGUAAUUAAAUAAUUUUGAAUAGCCUU